CCAUCAGUACAAACAAUACAAUAGGGCUUAUAGUCCACAAAACGUUAAAAGCAAACAAAUAAGUCCAAAACUGAUACCUAAGCAUGUUCUUGGUGACGAUUCCUCCGUUCUCCGCUGCUCUGUUCCACCCUACCUUUAGGGAUUGAGAGUUGCUUGAAUUGAAUGAUCUUCAAAAACGUUGCAUAGAGAGGCUCGGACUUCAUUCUGAUUUGAUACUGUAUAGAAGUGGAGGUCACUCAUGCUUCGCAUAUUAGAUCUUCCUUUCUACGGAUUGUUUAUACUAGUCGAAGUAUUGAAAACAUAAAAAUUUGUUUAACUUUGAGAUUAUCGGAGGAUUUAGAAAGUUUCCAUGGCUUAAGAUACUUCCAGUAACCUUCAUCCUAUGAGUGCCGGAUUUGAUUUCUGAUGCAGAGAAGAUGUUAAGCCAUU